GAGAGGGGAGCAGGGGGCACUGUGGCUCUGCACCAGCCCUGAGCACCAACGGGCAUCAGACCCUCCGUGCAAUGCUUGGAAAUACCACAGCACUCAGCUCUGAGGCACAAGGAGAGCAGGGCCCCUUGGGAACUUGCAGUUCAACAAAAGUUCACCAAAACAGCUAAGUCCCCACGCAAUAUGCGCUUUGAGUAAUUAACAUCUGACAUAAUUGUGCUGGGUUGGAGUGCCCGACCAGCAAACAAAGCCCAUGGUUUGCUUGUGCUUUGUAUCCACAUGGUGCUGGAACAUUGUGUGCUGCUGCACCGUGCAUCUGGCAGCUGCAAAGCCAUCACCGUUCAGACACCUCUUGCAGCCUCCUACCUUUGCACUGUUAAAACCAUUUGAAUAAUGCAAGAGAAGGUUUUAGUCAAUGCUUUUGUGUUCAGGUCCAAUAAAAACAUUGUGGUGGAGCAUUUUCCAGAAAAUGCAGUCUUCAGUGCAACAAGAAACCUUAUCUGCAAUCUAGAAUGCAGAGGGGAAAAAAAACCCAUUGUGACAUUGACUUCCCCUUCCAUGUGGGAUUAUUCCCUAUGGGCCAUUCUACAGGGCUGGUGACAGCAAGCUAUGGCACUUGUACUGACUACCUUCCCUUGAGAUAAACUACACACCAGCUCUAGCAGAUGGGAGUGAAGCAGCAUAGAGCAUCCUUGGGACCUUCCCAUGCUGCAUCCCCAGUUGCACUACUCCAGAGGCAUGAAAAAACAAGGGAGAUCAGGAUAAAGGGUAUAAAGGAAAACCCCAAUAUUUAUCUUCCACCUCCCCGUGAUCUGCAUUGGACCACGUGAGGAUGCUGAGAGACAUCACUGCUGCCUGUGGGCACAAGCAGGGCUGAGGAUGCAGCUGUAUCAUAGCACACAUCACCAACAUUGGGUACACCAACAGGACCUGAGGUCAGGUGUAAAACCAACACUGCAGUCCGACAUGGGAUAACCCACCUUUCAUCCAGCCCUCUAAGAAAGGAAGACUGGCUUACACCCAGCAACCCGAGA